rnacentral:rRNA from 1 species
UACGGAGGGUGCAAGCAUUAAUCGGAUUUAUUGGGCGUAAAGGGCGCGUAGGCGGGUCUUUAAGUCAGACGUGAAAUCCCUCGGCUUAACCGGGGAACUGCGUCUGAUACUGGAUGGCUUGAGUUUGGGAGAGGGAUGCGGAAUUCCAGGUGUAGCGGUGAAAUGCGUAGAUAUCUGGAGGAACACCGGUGGCGAAGGCGGCAUCCUGGACCAACACUGACGCUGAGUGAGCGAAAGCCAGGGGAGCAAACGGG